UAGGGAAUCUUCCGCAAUGGACGCAAGUCUGACGGAGCAACGCCGCGUGAGUGAAGAAGGAUUUCGGUUCGUAAAACUCUGUUGUUAGAGAAGAACAGCGCAUAGAGUAACUGUUAUGCGUGUGACGGUAUCUAACCAGAAAGCCACGGCUAACUACGUGCCAGCAGCCGCGGUAAUACGUAGGUGGCAAGCGUUGUCCGGAUUUAUUGGGCGUAAAGCGAGCGCAGGCGGUCAAUUAAGUCUGAUGUGAAAGCCCCCGGCUCAACCGGGAAAGGUCGUUGGAAACUGGUUGACUUGAGUGCAGAAGAGGAGGGUGGAAUUCCAGGUGUAGCGGUGAAAUGCGUAGAUAUAUGGAGGAACACCAGUGGCGAAGGCGACUCUCUGGUCUGUAACUGACGCUGAGGUUCGAAAGCGUGGGUAGCAAACAGA
rnacentral:rRNA from 1 species